UACGUAGGCAGCGAGCGUUGUUCGGAGUUACUGGGCGUAAAGGGUGCGCAGGCGGUUGUGUGUGUCAGGUGUGAAAGCCCGGGGCUUAACCCCGGAAUUGCGCCUGAAACUACAUGACUAGAGCAUUGGAGAGGGUAGCGGAAUUCACGGUGUAGCAGUGAAAUGCGUAGAUAUCGUGAGGAACACCAGUGGCGAAGGCGGCUCACUGGCCCGAUACUGACGCUGAGGCACGAAAGCGUGGGGAGCAAACAGG
rnacentral:rRNA from 1 species